CCAAAACAUGGUUUAGGUCGCCCAGAUCUUGAGUGCUAAACUGAACUGAACUGAAAGCCAAUUCGGAUCCUGUGUUCCGGACACCUAGAUAUGAGCCCGAAUGUUUACCAGGUGUUUAGUGUGGGUUUUGACACGUGUCUAGUGGUAGGUAAUGUCCGCCGGACCAGGUUAUGGGCGCAACAUACCACAAGCAGAGGAACCAACAAAGGAGUGCUGUAUUGACCUGAAAGUUUCGGACGCCCAGAAGUGGGUUUCGGGCGCCCUAAAGUGCAGAGUUCUAUAGGGAUAGCAAGUUAGUGUUUCUUGUUCUUGGGGCUUAUCAGACCAUUCCACCUCUUUAUAAAAGUAAGGGAUCGACCCCCUGAGAUGGUUUUUCACCCUCUUUCACAGUGAAUCCUCGAAUUUGCACUUUAAUCCCUCAAAUACUCCAAAUUACCCAAUGACACCUUGAGGAUUGCAGUUCUAGCAGUUUCCAGCAGCAACCUUUGGCAUUUUAGCUCGUGUGCGACGUAGGAAGCUCCGAUUGCUGCGAAGCUUGGUUUGGUGGUUAGUAGACUUCUUGGAGUUUUUGUGGAGUCCUUUUUGACAGCAUUUGAUUGAGAUUUGUAUGGUGAAUUUGCUAUUUUUCUGAGCUAUUGGUACAAUUGAGCUGAAAUUGAAAUUUUUAUGGUUUCUUGGAUCAAUUCUUGGAGGAAGCUGGAAUUUCGACCUGAGAAUAUUAUUCCAUCAUCCUCCACUAGUUUUGGGACUUUUCUUUACCUAAAUUAUGGAUUGGAAGAUCCUUAGAGAGUGUCGUGGCUGGUUGAAACUAUGCUUGGUAGGGCUUUCCAGCGACUUCCCAACCGUGUCAGACUCGCGCUAGAGAGCCUUCUUCUUCAACUGCUGUUGUUGCCGAUACAGAUCAUGGAAAGAGAGUCGUGAGUUAGAUCCCUUCAGUGUUGCUGCUAAUAUAGAGAUAUACCAGCUACAGGUAGUGAUAGUUUUUGGAUUCUUAUACAUACUGAUGUUAGUAUCUCGUUGGA